UACAGCCAAUUUUUUCCCUUCUAGAUAAGUUUUCGAUAACUUUAUCUAGAAUAUAUCUCUCAAAAUUGGUUCUUCUUAUUGGUUCUCAGAGGAAUUUAUCCAGAAGAUAGCUAUCGAGAGGUAUGAAGAAAUCGGCCGUUGGUCGCUCACUGAGCGGUUGUACUUCUGAACGCACCCAUUGUAAUGAUGUCUCCGUGAUUCAUUCGGAGUUCGGAGUUCGUUAUUUUCGGCUGACUUCUUCUUUGGUCUUUAAGUGACAUUUGAGCGUGUAUUCGAGUGUUUUAUUAAGUGUUAGAAUAUCAAUUAAAUACAUAAAAAAAUUUUAGAUUAGAAGAGAUAUCUUGUUCUAUAUUCUAUUCUCUCUCAAUAUGCUUCGAUUUUUAAUUAGUUUAAGUAUUGGAGUAUAUGCUGGAAUAUACAUAGCACAAAAUUAUGAGGUGCCACGAGUGGAUGAACCAGCAAAAUUAUACCAACGGGUACUUCAGUUUUUAGAAGAAAA